GGGACUGUGGGUGCGGAGAAAGCGGCUGUCAGCGCCUGCCCCUCGGCCCCGCACCCCCUCUUUCCAUCACCCCCCUCCCCUGUCCGCAUCUCUUCUUAUACCUUCCUCUCCCCAUAGUCCCUCCUCCGGCACCCCCCGGCCCCCAGGCCUCCCUCCCCCCCGGCGCACACACGCACAGACAGGCUGCCAGCCCCAGACCCCGUUUCCCUGCCGGGAGAUGCCCGGCCACUCCCUCCCCGGCCCCGCCGAGCACCGCCCGGGCCGGCCGCGGCGUCGGGGGCUGCGCCCGCGGGUGGGGCGGGGGGAACGGCAGAGAGAGGACGGAGGAGAAGAGGAGGGAAGACGAGGAGGAAGAAAAGCUCCACGCUUUGCUAUCCUAGGGAGGAACACAGGCUGUAGUACCUACGGACAUCACUGAAACCCCGCUUUUGCACACACAAACGCACGCACGGUCUGGACGGGAUGACACUUUGCAGGAGCGUUUUCUGUGACAGAUCCUCCCAAGCCUGUUUCACAAAACGUUCUCCUCCAAUGUGAUGUUUCAUUUGGGGAAAUAAACGCUCUCGGAAGCAAACGAGUCUGAA